rnacentral:lncRNA from 1 species
CUGAGGUCUGUCACCUUCCCAAGUCUGAAAAGCUCUGAGAAACGAAGCAGAUCCUCAUGGGUCGAGAAAAGCUGCAGUGACACCCAGCAUUUGCAAAUCCAGCCCAGUGUGUCUGGCUUCCCCUCACAGGGGUUCUUUUAGGGUUCUUCAUGGGACCAGGACACUGCACAGAGCAUGAAGCAAUCGUGGAGCUGGAGAGAUCUGACUGUCCUGAAUGUCAGCUUCAAAGUAAGUGCUCAGUGGCUUAUGAGAAAUGGAGCUUGCCUCUGAGUGCCUCAAUAUGCUGAGAGG